GAUGAACGCUGGCGGCGUGCCUAAUACAUGCAAGUCGAGCGAACGGACGAGGAGCUUGCUCCUCUGAUGUUAGCGGCGGACGGGUGAGUAACACGUGGAUAACCUACCUAUAAGACUGGGAUAACUUCGGGAAACCGGAGCUAAUACCGGAUAAUAUAUUGAACCGCAUGGUUCAAUAGUGAAAGACGGUCUUGCUGUCACUUAUAGAUGGAUCCGCGCUGCAUUAGCUAGUUGGUAAGGUAACGGCUUACCAAGGCAACGAUGCAUAGCCGACCUGAGAGGGUGAUCGGCCACACUGGAACUGAGACACGGUCCAGACUCCUACGGGAGGCAGCAGUAGGGAAUCUUCCGCAAUGGGCGAAAGCCUGACGGAGCAACGCCGCGUGAGUGAUGAAGGUCUUCGGAUCGUAAAACUCUGUUAUUAGGGAAGAACAUAUGUGUAAGUAACUGUGCACAUCUUGACGGUACCUAAUCAGAAAGCCACGGCUAACUACGUG
rnacentral:rRNA from 1 species